GAUGAACGCUGGCGGCGUGCUUAACACAUGCAAGUCGAACGGAAAGGCCCUGCUUGCAGGGUCCUCGAGUGGCGAACGGGUGAGUAACACGUGGGUGAUUUGCCCUGCACUUCGGGAUAAGCCUGGAAAACUGGGUCUAUAACCGAAUAGGACCCAUGUGUAGAGGGAUGGUUGGUAGGUUUUUUCGGUGUAGGAUGAGCGCGCGGCCUAUUAGCUUGUUGGUGGGGUAAUGGCCUACCAAGGCGGCGACGGGUAGCCGGCUUGAGAGGGUGGACGGCCACAGUGGGACUGAGGUACGGCCCAGACGCCAACGUGAGGCAGCAGUGGGGAAUAUUGCCCACUGGGCGCAAGCCUGAUACAGCGACGUCGCGUGGGGAAUGACGGCCUUCGGGUUGUAAACUCCAUUCGGUAGGGACGAAGCUGUUGUGACGGUACCUAGAGAAGAAGCACCGGCUAACUACGUG
rnacentral:rRNA from 1 species